rnacentral:rRNA from 1 species
GACGAACGCUGGCGGCGUGCUUAACACAUGCGAGUCGAACGGAAAGGCCCUGCUUUUGUGGUGUGCUCGAGUGGCGAACGGGUGAGUAACACGUGAGUAACCUGCCCUUGACUUUGGGAUAACUUCAGGAAACUGGGGCUAAUACCGGAUAGGAGCUCUUGCUGCAUGGUGGGGGUUGGAAAGUUUCGGCGGUUGGGGAUGGACUCGCGGCUUAUCAGCUUGUUGGUGGGGUAGUGGCUUACCAAGGCUUUGACGGGUAGCCGGCCUGAGAGGGUGACCGGCCACAUUGGGACUGAGAUACGGCCCAGACUCCUACGGGAGGCAGCAGUGGGGAAUAUUGCACAAUGGGCGGAAGCCUGAUGCAGCAACGCCGCGUGCGGGAUGACGGCCUUCGGGUUGUAAACCGCUUUCGCCUGUGACGAAGCGUGAGUGACGGUAAUGGGUAAAGAAGCACCGGCUAACUACGUG